UCCCCUGCUGAAGUGCCAGUCCCAUAUUUGUCGCAGGCAAAAGAGGAACGGUAGGGAUGGCUGGGACCUCCGCAGAGGCAGGAUCGUGUGGCCCCUCGGGGUGGGUGACAGAGGCCACGGAGUCAAGAGAUUCAGGAAUCCAUCCCAGGGUGAAAAGAGCUCAAAGGUCUUGACGCCCUGACUGCUCUGGAGUCGAAGUAAAAAGAUUCCCAGGAUGUAAGCAACACGGGAACUGGUGAGUGACCGUGUGUUUGGCGAAGGUCGGGGCCUCCACUGGAUUUCAGGAAGGGAAGGGGGAUGGAAGGGAGGCG
rnacentral:lncRNA from 1 species